UUAUCAGCCAGCUCCUGGGACAUGGAGCAGCCUGGACAGGUUCUCCUUUGGCUGGGAUCCAGUACUCCAUAACCCCAUGGGGCUCUGCUGGUCCCACAGCAUCGACAUGGUGGAGUCCCAGCACUGCAAAGAUUGGUCUCUGCAGGAGGUGGAUCAAUGGAGCUCAGGAUGGAGCUGGCCUCACGUCCCCCCUGCUGCCACUUCCCUGUGCUGUGACCUUGGGCAGAAGCUGGGCAUAGAAGAAAAAAAAAUCACCGAAGAUCAUAGAAGAAAAUAUCACUGAAAGGAAAGAAGCCAAUGAAAAUCCAAUGAAGCAAGCAGGAAUAGAGCAGAGACCGGUGCUGGCUGCUCACUGUCCCCAUCCCAGAGACACAGAGCUGGGAGCUGAGGAGAAAAGCAAAGGUGAGGAUGGUAGUGGGCAGCACAGCGGCUCCUUAUGCACAAGGGCCCAUAGUCAGAGUUUCCGUCAGUUACUGAAUUGCAGAUAAUAAAGAUUGAGGAGA